rnacentral:rRNA from 1 species
GAUGAACGCUAGCUACAGGCUUAACACAUGCAAGUCGCGGGGCAGCAUGAAGUCAGCUUGCUGACUUUGAUGGCGACCGGCGCACGGGUGAGUAACGCGUAUCCAACCUGCCUGUUACCACGGCACAGCCCGUCGAAAGGCGGAUUAAUGCCGUAUGUGGUCCUUUGCGGGCAUCUAAUUAGGACUAAAGGUUCAGCGGUAACGGAUGGGGAUGCGUCCGAUUAGCUAGACGGCGGGGUAACGGCCCACCGUGGCUACGAUCGGUAGGGGUUCUGAGAGGAAGGUCCCCCACACUGGAACUGAGACACGGUCCAGACUCCUACGGGAGGCAGCAGUGAGGAAUAUUGGUCAAUGGGCGUAAGCCUGAACCAGCCAAGUAGCGUGAGGGUAGACUGCCCUAUGGGUUGUAAACCUCUUUUGUGCGGGGAUAAAGUGAGGGACGUGUCCCUUAUUGCAGGUACCGCACGAAUAAGGACCGGCUAAUUCCGUGCCAGCAGCCGCGGUAAUACGGAAGGUCCGGGCGUUAUCCGGAUUUAUUGGGUUUAAAGGGAGCGCAGGCCGUCCUUUAAGCGUGCUGUGAAAUGCCGCGGCUCAACCGUGGCACUGCAGCGCGAACUGGAGGACUUGAGUACGCACGAGGUAGGCGGAAUUCGUGGUGUAGCGGUGAAAUGCUUAGAUAUCACGAAGAACUCCGAUUGCGAAGGCAGCUUACCGGAGCGCAACUGACGCUGAGGCUCGAAAGCGCGGGUAUCGAACAGGAUUAGAUACCCUGGUAGUCCGCGCGGUAAACG